CCGCGUGCGGAUGACGGCCCUCGGGUUGUAAACCGCUUUCAGUGGGACGAACCAAGACGGUACCCACAGAAGAAGCCCCGGCCAACUACGUGCCAGCAGCCGCGGUAACACGUAGGGGGCAAGCGUUGUCCGGAUUUAUUGGGCGUAAAGAGCUCGUAGGUGGUUCAGUAAGUCGGGUGUGAAACCUCCAGGCUCAACCUGGAGACGCCACCCGAUACUGCUGUGACUAGAGUCCAGUAGGGGAGCAUGGAAUUCCUGGUGUAGCGGUGAAAUGCGCAGAUAUCAGGAGGAACACCAGUGGCGAAGGCGGUGCUCUGGGCUGGAACUGACACUGAGGAGCGAAAGCGUGGGGAGCGAACAGGAUUAGAUACCCUGGUAGUCCACGCCGUAAACGUUGGGUACUAGGUGUGGGGUCUUAUCAACGGAUUCCGUGCCGCAGCUAACGCAUUAAGUGCUCUGCCUGGGGAGUACGGCCGCAAGGCUAAAACUCAAAAGAAUUGACGGGGGCCCGCACAAGCAGCGGAGCGUGUGGUUUAAUUCGAUGCAACGCGAAGAACCUCACCUAGUCUUGACAUGCAGGAAGUAGAACCCCGAAAGGGGAACCACUCGUAAAGUCGAGAACUUGCACAGGUGCUGCAUGGCUGUCGUCAGCUCGUGCCGUGAGGUGUUGGGUUAAGUCCCGCAACGAGCGCAACCCUCGGCGUUAGUUACCAUGUCUAACGCGACCGCCGGUUUCAAACCGGAGGAAGGUGGGGAUGACGUCAAGUCAGCACGGCCCUUACGCCUAGGGCUACACACACGCUACAAUGGCCGGUACAAUGGGACGCCAAGAGGUGAGCUCGGAGCAAAUCCUAUCAAAGCCGGUCUCAGUUGGGAUUGCAGGC
rnacentral:rRNA from 1 species